CCUACGGGGGCAGCAGUGGGGAAUAUUUGGCAAUGGGCGCAAGCCUGACCCAGCAACGCCGCGUGGAGGAAGAAGGCUUUCGGGUUGUAAACUUCUUUUUACAGGGAAGAGUAGAAGACGGUACCUGUCGAAUAAGACACGGCUAACUACGUGCCAGCAGCCGCGGUAAUACGUAGGUGGCAAGCGGUGUCCGGUUGUACUGGGGGGAAAGGGCGUGUAGCCGGGUUGACAAGUCAGAUGUGAAAUCCUGCGGGUUAACCACAGAACUGCAUUUGAAACUGUUGAUCUUGAGUACUGGAGAGGCAGACGGAAUUCCUAGUGUAGCGGUGAAAUGCGUAGAUAUUAGGAGGAACACCAGUGGCGAAGGCGGUCUGCUGGACAGCAACUGACGGUGAGGCGCGAAAGCGUGGGGAGCAAACAGGAUUAGAUACCCUUGUAGUC
rnacentral:rRNA from 1 species